rnacentral:rRNA from 1 species
UACGUAGGGUGCAAGCGUUGUCCGGAAUUACUGGGCGUAAAGAGUUCGUAGGCGGUCUCCUAAGUCGGAUGUGAAAUCUCAGGGCUCAACCCUGAAAUUGCAUCCGAUACUGGGUGACUUGAGGCAGGUAGGGGAAGGUGGAAUUCCUGGUGUAGCGGUGAAAUGCGCAGAUAUCAGGAGGAACACCGGUGGCGAAGGCGGCCUUCUGGGCCUGUACUGACGCUGAGGAGCGAAAGCGUGGGGAGCGAACAGG